rnacentral:sRNA from 1 species
CAUGCCCCUUAUACGCUGGGCUACACACGUGCUACAAUGGGUAGAACAGAGAGUUGCAAAGCCGUGAGGUGAAGCUAAUCUCAGAAAACUAUUCUUAGUUCGGAUUGUACUCUGCAACUCGAGUACAUGAAGUUGGAAUCGCUAGUAAUCGCGAAUCAGCAAUGUCGCGGUGAAUACGUUCUCGGGUCUUGUACACACCGCCCGUCACACCACGAGAGUUGGUUGCACCUGAAGUAGCAGGCCUAACCGUAAGGAGGGAUGCUCCGAGGGUGUGAUUAGCGAUUGGGGUGAAGUCGUAACAAGGUAUCCGUACGGGAACGUGCGGAUGGAUCACCUCCUUUCUAAGGAGAAGAAGUCUUUCUCUAUUCUAUUGGUAAUGUUCUUUACAUUACUUCUGAACAUUGGAAACUAUAUAGUAGAACAAACAAGAAAAAAAUUAACUCUAACAAUUUCUUAGAGUUAGCUGUCAAAAAAUAGAUUAAAAUAAUUAAGGGCACACAAAGGAUGCCUAGGUAGUAAGAGCCGAUGAAGGACGUGGUAAGCUGCGAUAAGCCUAG